rnacentral:rRNA from 1 species
GGCUCAGAUUGAACGCUGGCGGCAUGCCUUACACAUGCAAGUCGAACGGCAGCACGGGGGGUAACCCCUGGUGGCGAGUGGCGAACGGGUGAGUAAUACAUCGGAACGUAUCCUGUAGCGGGGGAUAACCUCUCGAAAGAGAGGCUAAUACCGCAUACGACCUACGGGUGAAAGAGGGGGAUCGCAAGACCUCUCACUAUUGGAGCGGCCGAUGUCGGAUUAGCUAGUUGGCGGGGUAAAAGCCCACCAAGGCUACGAUCCGUAGCUGGUCUGAGAGGACGACCAGCCACACUGGAACUGAGACACGGUCCAGACUCCUACGGGAGGCAGCAGUGGGGAAUUUUGGACAAUGGGCGCAAGCCUGAUCCAGCCAUGCCGCGUGGGUGAAGAAGGCCUUCGGGUUGUAAAGCCCUUUCGGCUGGGACGAAAAGAUUCGGGCUAAUAACUCGGAUUCAUGACGGUACCAGCAGAAGAAGCACCGGCUAACUACGUGCCAGCAGCCGCGGUAAUACGUAGGGUGCAGGCGUUAAUCGGAAUUACUGGGCGUAAAGCGUGCGCAGGCGGUCUGCUAAGAGAGAUGUGAAAUCCCCGGGCUUAACCUGGGAACUGCGUUUCUAACUGGCAGGCUUGAGUGUGGCAGAGGGGGGUGGAAUUCCACGUGUAGCAGUGAAAUGCGUAGAGAUGUGGAGGAACACCGAUGGCGAAGGCAGCCCCCUGGGCUAACACUGACGCUCAUGCACGAAAGCGUGGGGAGCAAACAGGAUUAGAUACCCUGGUAGUCCACGCCCUAAACUAUGUCAACUGGUUGUCGGGGAAGCAAUUCCUUGGUAACGAAGCUAACGCGUGAAGUUGACCGCCUGGGGAGUACGGCCGCAAGGUU